GAGGAGGUCGAGGUAUAUGUGGCUCAUGUGGUGGACGUGUUGCAGGUUCCCCUUCUGGUGGGGACCUGGGAGUUGUGGAACCAGGAAUGGCCUGAAUGGGCGGGUCGUCCACUGAGGGUGUGUCCCCUGCAAUGGGAGGACGAGGUAUUGUGGGUGUCUCUACUGCCAUAGCAGAACACUUUAAAGUUGGGUUGCCAGUGGUUCCUGGAGGACAUGUGCACUGUGGACGGUGGCCAAUCGUUUGACAGUCUGCAUUUUCUCCACAGUAACCGGGGUGACAAACAUCAAGACACAAUUUGUUCACACAUGAAGUGUCGAAGGAACAAUCAUCGGAGGCCAGACACCCAAUCGCCAGAGGUCCCGCUGUAGGAGGCAUCGAUGGCUGUGUGACUGGAGGCUGAGGUGGUCGGGGUGUCGGGUCCUCUGCGAAUGGAGGAGGCCAUGGACUCGUUGGAUCAGCCACAGGUCGGACUGGAUCUCCAGGUGGGGUUGGAGAAUCGCCUGGUAUGGGUGGCAUAGGUGUGGUGGGUAGCUCAGUGGCUGUGGC